rnacentral:rRNA from 1 species
UACGUAGGUGGCGAGCGUUGUCCGGAAUUAUUGGGCGUAAAGAGCAUGUAGGCGGCUUAAUAAGUCGAGCGUGAAAAUGCGGGGCUCAACCCCGUAUGGCGCUGGAAACUGUUAGGCUUGAGUGCAGGAGAGGAAAGGGGAAUUCCCAGUGUAGCGGUGAAAUGCGUAGAUAUUGGGAGGAACACCAGUGGCGAAGGCGCCUUUCUGGACUGUGUCUGACGCUGAGAUGCGAAAGCCAGGGUAGCGAACGGGAUUAGAUACCCCGGUCU